GAUGAACGCUGGCGGCGUGCCUAAUACAUGCAAGUAGAACGCUGAAGGAAGGAGCUUGCUCUUUCCGGAUGAGUUGCGAACGGGUGAGUAACGCGUAGGUAACCUGCCUGGUAGCGGGGGAUAACUAUUGGAAACGAUAGCUAAUACCGCAUAACAGUAGAUGUUGCAUGAUAUCUACUUAAAAGGUGCAAUUGCACCACUACCAGAUGGACCUGCGUUGUAUUAGCUAGUUGGUGAGGUAACGGCUCACCAAGGCGACGAUACAUAGCCGACCUGAGAGGGUGAUCGGCCACACUGGGACUGAGACACGGCCCAGACUCCUACGGGAGGCAGCAGUAGGGAAUCUUCGGCCAUGGACGGAAGUCUGACCGAGCAACGCCGCGUGAGUGAAGAAGGUUUUCGGAUCGUAAAGCUCUGUUGUAAGAGAAGAACGAGUGUGAGAGUGGAAAGUUCACACUGUGACGGUAUCUUACCAGAAAGGGACGGCUAACUACGUG
rnacentral:rRNA from 1 species